rnacentral:rRNA from 1 species
AGGACAAACGCUGGCGGCGUACCUAAGACAUGCAAGUCGAACGGGGACUACCGCUUCGGCGGGAGAUUCUAGUGGCGAACGGGUGAGUAACACGUAGGAACCUAUCACCGGGUGGGGGAUACCGACGGGAAACUGUCGCUAAGACCGCAUGAGGUUCUCCUUGAGAGAUCGUGAGAAAGAAAGCAGCAAUGUGCCGGGUGAGGGGCCUGUGGCCGAUUAGCUGGUUGGUGGGGUAAAGGCCUACCAAGGCGACGAUCGGUAGCUGGU